UACGUAGGGGGCAAGCGUUACCCGGAUUUACUGGGUGUAAAGGGAGCGUAGACGGCAUGGCAAGCCAGAUGUGAAAUACCGGGGCUCAACCCCGGGACUGCAUUUGGAACUGUUAAGCUGGAGUGUCGGAGAGGCAGGCGGAAUUCCUAGUGUAGCGGUGAAAUGCGUAGAUAUUAGGAGGAACACCAGUGGCGAAGGCGGCCUGCUGGACGAUAACUGACGUUGAGGCUCGAAAGCGUGGGGAGCAAACAGG
rnacentral:rRNA from 1 species